GGCGUGCUUAACACAUGCAAGUCGAACGAUGAAGCCCUUCGGGGUGGAUUAGUGGCGAACGGGUGAGUAACACGUGGGCAAUCUGCCCUGCACUCUGGGACAAGCCCUGGAAACGGGGUCUAAUACCGGAUACCACCCUCUUCCGCAUGGGAGGGGGUUGAAAGCUCCGGCGGUGCAGGAUGAGCCCGCGGCCUAUCAGCUUGUUGGUGGGGUGAUGGCCUACCAAGGCGACGACGGGUAGCCGGCCUGAGAGGGCGACCGGCCACACUGGGACUGAGACACGGCCCAGACUCCUACGGGAGGCAGCAGUGGGGAAUAUUGCACAAUGGGCGAAAGCCUGAUGCAGCGACGCCGCGUGAGGGAUGACGGCCUUCGGGUUGUAAACCUCUUUCAGCAGGGAAGAAGCGAAAGUGACGGUACCUGCAGAAGAAGCGCCGGCUAACUACGUGCCAGCAGCCGCGGUAAUACGUAGGGCGCAAGCGUUGUCCGGAAUUAUUGGGCGUAAAGAGCUCGUAGGCGGCUUGUCGCGUCGGAUGUGAAAGCCCGGGGCUUAACCCCGGGUCUGCAUUCGAUACGGGCAGGCUAGAGUGUGGUAGGGGAGAUCGGAAUUCCUGGUGUAGCGGUGAAAUGCGCAGAUAUCAGGAGGAACACCGGUGGCGAAGGCGGAUCUCUGGGCCAUUACUGACGCUGAGGAGCGAAAGCGUGGGGAGCGAACAGGAUUAGAUACCCUGGUAGUCCACGCCGUA
rnacentral:rRNA from 1 species